AACAAACACAUGGAAGCCAGCUUUAAAACCAUGGAAAUGCCCCACAUUUCAUCACCGGGUCCUUUAGUAUUUAUUUCAACUUAUUGGUUGUUUUUGUAAAGUGAUAAGGAGAUUAAAUCACAGCUGGAAUUUGCUUUAAUAAUGUAGCGCCCUGGGCUUCGUUCAUAUUUCUGCUCACCCGAAGGUUCUCAUUGCUCUGUGGUGUGUGCCCGUGUGCCUGCUGUGCUCACUGCAAGGCAUUCUGGGAGAUACAAGGAUGAUACAAGGAUACCUCUAUCCCUGUUCCUGACCUCAUGGAGUUUACGGUCUGAUGGGGAGGUGGCCACCUUCAAGAGCUUUGUGUAGGGAGUGAUUAUAUUUGGAAGAGAAUUAGAAAUUUUUUGGAGAUAAUUUUCAGAGAUAUGAACUGUCCUUAUUUAUAAUGACAGCUACAGGAUAAUAUGGUAAAAUAGAACUGUUGGUUCUAUUAGAAACUCAACAGUUGUUUAGAGAUUAUAACAUCCUGUUCUCUGGAGGGAAAGAUAAGAGUAUUUGAAUGUCAAGUUCGCUUCUUCCACAUCUGAAACAGAGUUCCUCCAGGGCUGGGCCUGACCACUUUUGUCUUUCUUUGUCAUCCCAUUGAUCAAUUAGUCAAUGUGUUUGUUGAUUUGACUUUAAAAGGAAUUUAAAAAUCAGCAAUAAAUAAGGGAAAGCAAGAGACCAGAUAUCGUAAAAGGUGAAACAAUGUCAUCUAGAAAAAAGGAUCUGAUCAUCAUAAAAUUCAGUGGCAAAAUGGGAAAUGCCAAGAUAUGACUUAUUUGUACAAACAAACUUCAGCUAACUGUACACCAGCCUUCCUGGCCUUCGAGGCUUCUACGACUCUCCUCUCCCACUCAAAAAAGUUUGAGGAGUGGUCAAUAAAUUCCUCAGCAGCUCUAACAGAAGUUAAUUUUCUGAUGGUAAAGGGCAAACUGCCUCAUGUUUCUAAAGCCUCAGUUUCUUCAUCUGUAAAAAGGGGAUUGAACUGGAUUGUCUCUAAGGUACCUUACAGUUCUAACUAUCUCUGGAUCCAUUAAAGGCAGAAGAUUGUGUUGGACACACUGUGAGUGGCUGGUUUUCUGCAGCUGAAGAGAGAAAUGCUCUGAUUGUCUGGUGGUAUCUGUAAGGGGCCAGUCCUUUCUGGAAAAACCCAGAAGAGUGGAUGGACCAAUGAAAAAGGAGAAAAGUAGAGAGAAUAAGGAGGAGAGCAGCAGUCACUGGGAGUGCUGAGGAAAUAGCCACUGACAUCAGGAAAGGAGAAGGUCUAGGAAAGGGGGACCCAUGGCCCUUUGUAGCUGCAUCUUGGGACAGAGAAGGUGACGUCUCCAUCGCACAGGGGACAAAAGAGCGCCGAUUCUCAAUGAGGAAGCCCUGAUUGACACUGCCCCUAUCUACACCGUUCCCUAUGCUGCACCACAAUGGCCGUUGGCCAUAGUAGAAGCUCUAGAGAUGAGGCAAGCCAUAGAGCCAAAUAGAGGCACAGAUUCCAAUCUUUCCCCAAUCAGCUGAUCAAUCCACAGGCAUUUGUGAGAUGCCUACUGUGUGCCAGGCACUGUGCUAAGUGUCAGGGAUCCGGAGAAGGAUUCCGCCUUCCAGGCGCUCACGCUCCAGCUGUAGAGAACAAGCGGGAGAGCCGACAAGGAAGGCGGGUGGGGUCAGCAAAGGGCUACUUUGAAACUCUCCACAGAUACUGAACCAUCCAGUUAUGCAUUAGCCGCAUGUGGUGAAAGGCCCUCAAUCACAGUAGUUACUGUGGCUCCUUGAGAAGGCAGGAGAUUUUUAUCAGCAAAGGCAAUAGCCUGAAUGGCAAGAAACCUUCAAAGGGGAACUUCAGCCGUGGCUGAGGCGACAUGUAAGGCCGUUACGCAGCAGGCGCCAGACGGUCGAUGACGGCGGCGCAGAAGCGCCUUGUGACUCUGGGGGACAAUUCGUCCCUGAGCACCCCGUGCCCUCAACAACUUUCUCAUAUUUCUGAAACCUGCCGAUGAUGCUUACUCAUUAACCUGAUAAGCAAUGAACGGGCAGAACCCGGCUUGGGCCCCAGGGGAUGGUAGAAGACCUCGAGGGAGGCCUCCAGUAUAUUAGGCAGACUUCCACGGAGGAUUAUGGGAGUGAGAGGCAAGAGUCGAGAAGCUGAGGAGGGGGAGAUCUGCAGCAGUGGGAGCGGACAUUCUGGGAACAACAUAAUCCCCGGGUCCGUGGAGGCUUUCAGGUAUUGGCAACUUGUUCAGUGGAGGGCUGUGCUCCUGAAUUUCAGUCCCCUUAAGUAAAUAAGAUAAACUAUCCUUUCAUGUGUUACCUCUGCAGGUUUCCAUAACUGAAAACCCUUCAUGAAUGGCAAAUUUCAUCACCAUAGAACUUCAAAGGUAUCAUACAUUUCCUUACCUAUUGCUUCACAGAGGACAAGAUGAAACACGAACAGAGACCAUUUUUGGAACCAAUGCCAUUAUCUUUUUGUAUUUUCAGCAAAAGAUUAUUUCAGAACUACAGGCUGGUUUGAGAAUAACAAAGCUAUACAAUUGCUUAACAACCAUGAAGUUCUCUCUGAGGAAAAAGGGUUAGUGCUAGGACAUCAAUUUCAUCAUCUUCCCUCUACCUGAUGUUACCUCCUUGUUAAAUCAUUAAGAACAUGAAAUGACAUUCUGGAGAGAUUUCAUAUGAAAAUGAUCCAUUAUGAAAGUAUUUCAAAAGACUUUCAGGCAUUUUAAUUCCAAUGAUGUACUUUUUAAAUCUGAUGGUAUCUGGAAUUCUUUUAAAAGCCAAAUUCUAAGAGCAGAGUUAGAGAAAAAUGUGCUCUGUUGUCCCAUCAGCAGAAGUAUCAUCUUCUGCUGAUGAAUUUAUUAGUUUGGUGUUUGUUGAGUUCUGAAUAAAAAUAAAUGAAUGUUUUUUUAAAAAUCUGGCUUUAAUGAAAAAAAAAAUCUCUAACCAACAGUAAGUAUUGCAAUGUGGCUGACCUGCAUGCAGCUAAGGAAGAAUAAAAGAGGUGACUACGUGUGAAAUGGCACUGUUGUCUCUUGAAAACAGCACCGCCGUACCUACAUACGACACCUGCGUAGGCAGGAGAAUUGAAUUUAAGAAUUUUCUGAGGAGCUUUUGUAAUCGAAGACUGAUUUCUGCAUGAUAUGAGACGUGUGACUAUUACCUGUCAAAGUAUAUAACUGCACUCUUAUAUGCACAUUAAAUUAUUAAUUAAUUAAAUAAAUAUAUUAAUAAAUAUA